rnacentral:rRNA from 1 species
UACGUAGGUCGCAAGCGUUGUCCGGAUUUACUGGGCGUAAAGAGCGCGCAGGCGGCUGGUCAAGUCCGAUGUGAAAUCUCCCGGCUCAACUCGGAAACUGCAUUGGAUACUGCUCGGCUGGAGGGUUGGAGGGGGGACUGGAAUUCUCGGUGUAGCAGUGAAAUGCGUAGAUAUCGAGAGGAACACCAGUGGCGAAGGCGAGUCCCUGGACAACUCCUGACACUGAGGCACGAAAGCUAGGGGAGCAAACAGG